rnacentral:rRNA from 1 species
GCUCAACCGAGGAAGUGCUUCGAAAACUGGUAAACUUGAGUGCAGAAGAGGAAAGUGGAACUCCAUGUGUAGCGGUGGAAUGCGUAGAUAUAUGGAAGAACACCAGUGGCGAAGGCGGCUUUCUGGUCUGUAACUGACGCUGAGAUUCGAAAGCAUGGGUAGCAAACAGGAUUAGAUACCCUGGUAGUCCAUGCCGUAAACGAUGAGUGCUAAGUGUUGGAGGGUUUCCGCCCUUCAGUGCUGCAGCUAACGCAUUAAGCACUCCGCCUGGGGAGUACGACCGCAAGGUUGAAACUCAAAGGAAUUGACGGGGGCCCGCACAAGCGGUGGAGCAUGUGGUUUAAUUCGAAGCAACGCGAAGAACCUUACCAGGUCUUGACAUACCAUGAAAAGCUUAGAGAUAAGUCUUUCCCUUCGGGGACAUGGAUACAGGUGGUGCAUGGUUGUCGUCAGCUCGUGUCGUGAGAUGUUGGGUUAAGUCCAGCAACGAGCGCAACCCUUAUUAUCAGUUGCCAGCAUUCAGUUGGGCACUCUGGUGAGACUGCCGGUGACAAACCGGAGGAAGGUGGGGACGACGUCAAAUCAUCAUGCCCCUUAUGACCUGGGCUACACACGUGCUACAAUGGUCGGUACAACG